rnacentral:rRNA from 1 species
AGGUCAGCAUACUGCCGUGAAUACGUUCCCGGGCCUUGUACACACCGCCCGUCACACCAUGAGAGUUGGGGAUACCCGAAGCCUGUGAGCUAACUUAACGGAGGCAGCAGUCGAAGGUAGAAUCAAUGAUUGGGGUGAAGUCGUAACAAGGUAUC